AAAAGAAGAAGAAAAUGCGUGUCGAUCGGUAAAAGAAAGAACAAGCUAAGAUACAUGUAUAUAACGUUAACAUAUUAAUCUUAUCUAGAAGAGAUGAUGGAGAGUCAAUGAUGUCUCAGAAAAAUCAAUUAUAUAAUAGAAUGAGAAAGAGAUAGAUAGAUAGAGGAACGUGCACUGACCUGGGGCGCUCGAGUUCGACAGGGCAGUCGCGGACUGUCUAUUCGUUCAAGUUGGACGGGGGGGAAGAUUCUUCAUCGGGCGUUCACUAUCAUCGUGAGUCUUCGACUGGACUCUGCGUACCCGGCCCGGAGGAUAGAACCCGUUCCAACUCUCCCGGCGGAGCCUCCCUCUUCUUUUUCCUUCAAUCCUCGGCCCUGUCUGAGAACGGCCGAAGGUUGCCCUCGGCCGCAUUACAUCGGCCAACAGCAGCGUCGCAUUGCUAACGUCGUCCAGGCAUUACGUUGCUGCUGAACUCCAGAAUCGGUCGAAGUAACAUGAAGAAGAAGAGGAAGAAGAAGAAGAAGAAGAAGAAGAGACGACGACAACAACAAUAAAACAACAAAAAAAGUUGUUGCUCGCGUGCACGAUGAUCGUCCGUCCUCGUUGACUACUGGCGCCUACGAUCGACUAAAAGUGCUUCUGGAAUCCCGCUAACACGCGAGAACGUUAGAUAAACGAGACGAGGAAUGAAAGAGGGAUUUGUGCUAGGUAACUGACUGACUAGUUACCUAGCUCUAAGCCUAGUUACUCAGGUUUCGUAAGAGAUGAUGAUCGUUUAUGAAAUACC